rnacentral:rRNA from 1 species
UACAGAGGUCUCAAGCGUUGUUCGGAUUCAUUGGGCGUAAAGGGUGCGUAGGUUGGCGCGCUAAGUCAGGUGUGAAAUUUCGGAGCUUAACUCCGAAACUGCCUUCGAUACUGCGGGUCUCGAGUCCGGAAGAGGCGAGUGGAAUUCCUGGUGUAGCGGUGAAAUGCGCAGAUAUCAGGAGGAACACCGAUGGCGAAGCAGCUCGCUGGGACGGUACUGACGCUGAGGCGCGAAAGCGUGGGGAGCAAACAGG